UACGGAGGGGGCGAGCGUUAUUCGGAAUUAUUGGGCGUAAAGGGCGCGUAGGCGGCUGUACAAGUCAAAGGUGAAAUCCCUCGGCUCAACUGAGGAACUGCCUUUGAAACUGUACGGCUUGAGGCCGGGAGGGGGUAGCGGAAUUCCCAAUGUAGCGGUGAAAUGCGUAGAUAUCUGGAGGAAUACCGGUGGCGAAGGCGGCAUCCUGGACCGAGAUUGACGCUGAACGGCGAAAGCUAGGGGAGCAAACGGG
rnacentral:rRNA from 1 species